UAGCCUGGUCUGCACUUGAUGCUUGGGGCUCAGAAGUCUCUAUUGCUCAGCUGUGCAGCAAGCACAGGGCAAAGUUUCUUCAGUUUGGGAGCCUCAAGGCACUUCUCUAACCUGCCCCGACCACUGCUUUAAAUUUUUCUAAUGAGUUGUCAAUAAUUUAAAAUUGGAAAACCAACAAGAGAAUCAGCCAGAAUUUCAGCUUUCCAUGGGGAGUCAGAAGACCUGGCCACUUUAGACUGGUGUCCCUACAGAGAAAGUGGGAAACCUGGUGAUUGGCCCUUUAGACACAAGCAGAUCGUGUGAGUGACUUCAUUAGCUUUCCAGUGUCCCUAAUCACACUUGGAACCAAACCCAAAGACCUCACUGUAGUGCAACUGUCCUUGUUUACUAAAAGAGAAGAUACCAUCAAGGGAGACUUUAGGCCCUCCUUCUGCCUGUCAGACUACUGAGACAAUGGACCUCAAAAAGUUUGAAUGUCCCCCCAGGAGCCUCAUGCUAGGAGAAGGAAAAGGCAGAAGCCUGGUGCCAACCAGAGGGGGAUCAUGUCUCCUGCAAAGGGAUCCCACAGUUCUGACAACUUGUCAGAGAGCCUAGAACCAACUGUGAGUAGAGAUCAGAAUGUAAGCUCCCAGCUACAGCUACUCCAGCACUAUGCCUGCCUGUCUGCCUGGUACCAUACUCCCUGCCAUGAUGGUCAUGGACUAAUCCUCUGAAACUGUUUUCACAGCAAGCCCAGGAGACACCAAGGUGACAAAGUUCCGUUUGCACUUCCUUGAAAAUUCUCCUAAAUGGUCUGCCUUGCCAACCAGUCUGCAAAAAGAAAAAGAGCCUCCUGACAACGGAACAAGACACCAAGCAGGUGGUAAGUUACCCAUCCCUGCAUCAGACAGUAGCUGAGAGGGAGGUGCCUGCUCUGAGCUCUCCCUGGGAAGCCCUGCCACUCCGGGACUGAGCCACAGGCCUGCCUGUGGGCAUUCUCUCUGGGCUCAGCUGUUUAUCAGCUGUGAGGCAAUGAUUGAGUUCUCCAUCUCCUGCGUCUUCCAGUCAUUGUCUCUAAAACGGAGAAAAUAAUACACCUGUCUUCUAGAUUGUGCUUCAGAUACAGUGAUGUGACUGAUGAGGAUCUGAUUUAUGGAGCCAUAAAUACAGUCCUUGGUCCUCUUUGAUUUUCUGCCUCCAGUUGCCCCCAGAGUCCACUACCAUCCUUAUUUGGUGAUGAUGACUACAGCUGAGGCUAGAACAUUCUGCUCAUUGAAAGUCUCAUCCAGUUUAAAAUGCUGCUUGGGUUGGCAAGAUGGUUUUGUGGGUAAAGGUGCUUGCCACCAAGCCUGAUGACCUGAGAUCAGUCCCCAAGAUGCAUAUAGUAGAAGGAGAGAAGCGACCAUCACAAGUUGUCCUCUGACCUACACGUAAGCUCUACCUCUUAGGCUAGGAGUGUGGCUGAAUGGUUCAAUCCCUAGUACAAGGAAGAGGGGGAGGGACAGGAGUAGUAGGGAGGAAGGGAGGGAAGAAAGGAGGGGACCAGUUUUUAGUCAUGGUCACUCCAGUCCUGGACUUAGGGGACCAAAGCGAAGGACCUACAGGCUUAGAUCGCGAACCACACUCAGUUCCCAUGGAGGUUCUGAGGACAGCAGUGAGCGUGGCUUGUCAGUCUUCCCUUCUUGCAGAACCCCACAGUACAGGAGAGAUCCCAAGGAGCCCUUUUAACCCCUCCCUUGAGGCCCUGACUCCUCAUCAGCUGUAGUUGGAAUGGAAGAAAGGAAGGCCUUCCGAAAACACGAUCCCCACAAGCCCUCACCUCUGCCUCUCUUCCUUUACCUUUACAUUUGCUUUUAGUUUGUUCUUUUUCAUUUGCUUUCUAUUCCUUCUUUCCUAGACAGGGUCUCAUGUAGCCCAGGUUGGCCUCAAACUUUCUAUGUAACGAAGGGUAACUUUGAACUCCAGGUGCUCCUGUGUCCACCUCUAGGGUGUUUGGAUUCCAGGUCUGUGCCACCACACCUGGUUUGUACAGUGCUGGGGACUGAACCCAGGGCUUCAAGGCUUCCUGCAGGCUAGGAAGGCACUCUACCAACUGAGUCCUGCUCCCAGCCCACCCUCCUUAGUGUUCCUCAGAACGUGGAAGGAAAUCUGGGCUGGCAGGGGAUGACAGGAUUCUGCUGCUUUCCAGGCUGCCCUGGGGAGCAUGUCUGGACAGUGGUGAGUUUGAGCAGAAGAGGGUGAAAACAGCUGUCUGGAUCCUCUGCCUCAGAUCCUGUGCCUGGAUAAAGGCUGAGUUGCCCUGUAUCCCGCCGUGCAGAGAUGUCAUGGCCAUGUACCCACCAGCUGCUCAGCCUGCUUUCUACACUGCCAGGUCUUUCCCAGAUACUAGUGCCCUACGCUGCUGACAGCACCUUCCAUCCUGGGUUCUCUCUUUUCCUCCCUGGGGACUGCUCCUUCAUCUCCUUGGGUCUCCACUGAAACCCUUGCUUAAUACCUGCCUUAGUUAGGUGUUCCCACAGCCACCAUCUUUGCAUGAUAGUAUUCUGUCCUUGCAAACUGUUUCUUCAUCUCCCACUUCACUCAGAGACCAGUUUAUGAAGUUCUUCUGGGCUUGGCCAACAGCACAGUGACUGAUGCAGUUCUCAAGGCGAUUACCUGGUGACCAUCCUGAAGGAAUGUGACCCUUGUGUGCUCUGCUUUUCCCUCUGAAGAGACAAAGCAUGGGUCCAGAAGGAUGCUCUGUGGGGAAGGGUGCUAGCUACUGCCCUUGCAGAGGACCGUACUUUGAUUCCUAGAGCCAACACAAGGCAGCUCACAACCACCUGCAACUCCAGCUCCAGAGGAUCCAACAACCCUCUUUGGGUCUCCAAGGGCACUAACAUUCACACACACACACACACACACACACACACACACACACACACACACACAUAAAAAUGAUUUUUAAAAGAUGCAAAGUAGCCCUGAGCCAUGUGUGCAGACCUGCAUUUUGCCCAGGGCAACCUUCCUUCUGCCUUCCCACAAUCCCUUGGUGCCAGCUGUCAGCAGAUUUGACAAGGCCUGGGGGAACUCUGUGGGAAGAGAAACAAGAAGGAAAAGCCUGGGACUCCAAAGCUGCAGUCAGGCAGAGCCAGGUCUCCACGGAGCCUGAGGCCUCUCUCCUGAGGGGCUGUGCUAAUGAGGCGAGUGCUAAUGUUCCAUAGGAGAGCAACCAAGAUCGUUAAGAGCCUGAGCCCAAGUCUACCACCAUUAGCCAGCUAAUAGGGAGAAAGCAUGCGCGGGCAAGACUUGGAUGGCUAUCAGACACCCAGCCUUGGCUGUGCAGCCAGCCAAACACCUCUAGAUCCCUCUCUCUGCCCUGCACUGAUCACAUGACCUUCACCAAGUCAGCCUGACGUCCCAAGACCUGAUCAUUAAGAGGGAAUUAAUUAAUUCUGCAGGUAUUUGACGGGUCCUGGAAUUUCAUUUGUCUUUCUCUGGUGGCUUUACGGAGUGGGAGACUCAAAUCCCUUCAGAGCCCCAGGAGAGAAAAGAAGCAAAGAGGAGGGACAAUAAACCCUCAUAUAGCCCAGGCUAGCUUCCAACUUGUUAUGUAGCUAUGGAUAACCUUGAACUUCUGAUUCCCAUCCUUUUUUUUUUUUUUUCCAUUUUUUUGAGACAGGGUUUCUCUGUGUAGCUUUGGUGCCUUUCCUGGAACUCACUCUGUAGACCAGGCUGGCCUCGAACUCACAGAGAUCUGCCUGUCUCUGCCUCCCGAGUGCUGGGAUUAAAGGCAUGUGCCACCACUGCCCAGCCUGAUUCCCAUCCUUUGCCUUCUGAGUUGCUAUGGUUACGGGCAGGUGCUGUCAUGCCUGGUUUUAUGUGGUACUAAGCAUUAAACACAGUGCUUCGUGCGUGCUAGGCAAGUGUUCCACCAAAUGAGCCACAUCCCAACCCACCACAGCUUCUGUCACUCUGAAAAUCUGUAUCGGUGUAUGACACCUCUCCAUGUUUAAGUACUAGCAACUAAUUCAGUUUUGUGAAGAUGUUGAUGCUGAGUCAGGCUUAGUGGUGCACGCCUUUGAUCCCAGCACUCAGAAGGCCGAGGCAGGUGGAUCUCUGUGAGUUCAAGGCCAGCCUGGUCUACAUAGUGAGUUCCAUGACAGCCACAGUAUAAUGAGACCCUGUCUCAAAAAAAGAAAAAAAAUUCUAUGCUGAAAGUCAUGUGGGCUAGAUUUGGCUUGCUCCUAGCUAGUUGUUGCCUGUCAGGAAAUUGUGAGGUACUGUGAAGGGUCCAGCUCAGAGCCUUGACUUGAACUUAGCCUCAUCAGUGUUGUGAAUUAUAAUGCACACCCAGUUCCCUGACAUCUAUUAGCCCAGAAGAUAAGUGGGACACAUGCGUACAGAUAAAAACUGAGUGAGAAGCAUUCGUGUGGACCACAGAUGAAAACAAGGCAGGAUUCCUGGAGGGAGCAGCAGAGGAACGAACUCAGCAGAGCUUCUGAGACCCAGUGGUUCUCAGACCACACAGAGAAUGUCACCAACAAAGUCAUUGAGAAUGUCAGGCAAGGGCUGGGGACACAGGUCAGUGGAUAAAGUGUUUGCAGUGCAAGUAUGAGAACCCAAGUUCAGAUCCCCAGGAUCCACGUAAAGACCAGGUGCAGGAGUGGACAUCUGUAACCACAGGCCUAGGGGGCAGAGACGGGCUUCCCAGGGCUCACUGGCCAGGCAUUGUAGCCAAAACAAAACAGUAAGCUUCAGGCUCAGUGAAAGACAGAAGAAGAAGAAG